rnacentral:rRNA from 1 species
UACGGAGGGUGCGAGCGUUGUCCGGAAUCACUGGGCGUAAAGGGCGCGUAGGCGGCGCGAGCAGUCGAUCGUGAAAGUCCGGAGCCCAACUCCGGAUCGGCGGUCGAUACUCUCGUGCUUGAGCACUGUAGAGGCAGAUGGAAUUCCGGGUGUAGCGGUGGAAUGCGUAGAGAUCCGGAAGAACACCGGUGGCGAAGGCGGUCUGCUGGGCAGUUGCUGACGCUGAUGCGCGACAGCGUGGGGAGCAAACAGG